UAAACGACUCUCGGCAACGGAUAUCUCGGCUCUCGCAUCGAUGAAGAACGUAGCGAAAUGCGAUACUUGGUGUGAAUUGCAGAAUCCCGCGAACCAUCGAGUCUUUGAACGCAAGUUGCGCCCGAAGCCAUUAGGCUGAGGGCACGUCUGCCUGGGCGUCUCAC
rnacentral:rRNA from 4 species